rnacentral:rRNA from 1 species
UACGUAGGGGGCAAGCGUUGUCCGGAUUUAUUGGGCGUAAAGAGCGUGUAGGCGGCUAGAUAGGUCCGUUGUGAAAACUCGAGGCUCAACCUCGAGACGUCGAUGGAAACCAUCUGGCUAGAGUCCGGAAGAGGAGAGUGGAAUUCCUGGUGUAGCGGUGAAAUGCGCAGAUAUCUGGAGGAAUACCGGUGGCGAAGGCGGCAUCCUGGACCGACAUUGACGCUGAGGAGCGAAAGCUAGGGGAGCAAACGGG